rnacentral:rRNA from 1 species
GACGAACGCUGGCGGCGUGCCUAAUACGUGCAAGUAGAACGCACAGUUUAUACCGUAGCUUGCUACACCAUAAACUGUGAGUUGCGAACGGGUGAGUAACGCGUAGGUAACCUGCCUGGUAGCGGGGGAUAACUAUUGGAAACGAUAGCUAAUACCGCAUAAUAUUAAUUAUUGCAUGAUAAUUGAUUGAAAGAUGCAAUUGCAUCACUACCAGAUGGACCUGCGUUGUAUUAGCUAGUAGGUGAGGUAACGGCUCACCUAGGCGACGAUACAUAGCCGACCUGAGAGGGUGAUCGGCCACACUGGGACUGAGACACGGCCCAGACUCCUACGGGAGGCAGCAGUAGGGAAUCUUCGGCAAUGGACGAAAGUCUGACCGAGCAACGCCGCGUGAGUGAAGAAGGUUUUCGGAUCGUAAAGCUCUGUUGUAAGAGAAGAACGGGUGUGAGAGUGGAAAGUUCACACUGUGACGGUAUCUUACCAGAAAGGGACGGCUAACUACGUG